AGUAAUUUCUAAUUUUGCACAAGCAGCUCUGAUGCAUGCUUAUCUUCUGUCAUACGGAUUGUGUCAAGAUUUAUGAGAGCAACAUGCAGCACUGCUUAUGUUGCCUGUCUUCUGCAUGAGUAUUGGAUUUCUAUUACAACCAGGUUUUAUUUCUUGAUGAAUAUAGGAAUGUGACGUAUUUGAAUGCCAAAGGCAAACUGCUCGAUCGUCACACAAUCUCUGCAUUAAACACGAAAGGAGAAGUGACGGAAGUGAAGGCAUCAAACAUAGUGCUGGCAACCGGUACAAGACCCAAGAUACCAGACGUACCCGGUGCCGCUAAACAUUGCAUUACAAGCGACGAUUUGUUUAUGUUGAGGAAGCCACCUGGCAAAACGCUAGUAGUCGAGCCA